GAAUCAUCUCUCCUCCCUACUCCAGCCAUGCUAAUAAGAGCCUGGGGAGAACCCAAGACUGAAUCUCAAGUCUCUAGCUGCCUUUUAUGAUUCAUAUUUCCUUUCCAGGGCACCAGAAACUCAAGGGUGAUCCUGGGAUUGCUGUUCCUAACUUUAGUAGCAACCUUGUGAAUGGGAGAAGUUGAGAGCUCCUUGCCCCAGGUGCUGGUGAUGCAGAAAGAGGUGAAAUCUACAAAACUUUUCAGAAGGGAAGGAGACCAUCACUAGAAAGGUAUUACAGAAAAAAACACCAAAGCAACUCUAGCCACAAGAUGGGCUUAUCAUCAGACCUGGAUCUGUGAAUUACACAGAUAAUACAGAAUGUUUGAAAGGAAAAUCAAACUAUAUCCAAGGUACAGAGCUAAAGGAGUUGACGUGAGAGAAAGUCAUAUCCAAAGGGAGAAAGAGAGAUAUGGUGCUAUCUACAAAGACUGAAUACAGUUCCUGGGUCUAAUGUUUCUAGCCUUGUUGGCAACCUUAUGAGUUCAAGAGGAAGAGAUCCCUGCUAUAGAAGAUGAUUAUUGCCAGGAAAACCCAUGAUUUGUAUGAAAAGCAUGUUUUGUAAGACUUGUGACAACUCUAUGACAACAAGCAAGUCAGAAAUGGGAGAAAUGUUUGUUAAAUAGUCCUACAAAUUGUUCAACAUUUUGAUGUUUUAAAUAUCAAUACCCUUGCAUAAUGUAAUAGAAAUGUUGGGUUAUUCUCUAAUAUCUGAUAAUGUGUUUUUAUAAAUCCUUUGUGUUUUAAGCAUUUCUUUAGUGUUGGAAGAAAUGAAUAGCAGAGCUAUUUGUACAAUGAAUUUCUUUAUAAAAAUGAUCCUGCUAAUUAUUUUUGGGAAGAACACAGGCAUUAGUCAAACCUAAGAUUUACUUAAGACAUUUUCCCCCCAGACACUAUAGUCAGGGGAUGAUGAGCCAGAGACUCUGAAAAUAGCUUGAUCUCCUUGCUUUGGGAAAAACUCCACUAGAACAUCGAUAGGUGCCCAGAGGUGCCCAGAGCUGGGACUCCCUGUGAGUCUUGAAAUUUCUCAGACUUGUGAAUGUUAAAAAAAAAUCCCCAUUGGGGAAUUCUCUAUUGGAACAAUUCCCUA